GCCGGUGUCAGGCGUCGUUGUUUCUUAUCCUUGCAAACAUUGUGCCCGGGGCUGGGUUCGUGCCUUGGGUUUGUUGGGUUUUUUGGGGGGGUUUUUUUUGGUUGUUUUUUUUUUCUGGGUGGGGGGGAGAGGGAACCCCAACAACCCCCAAACAAACAGAAACGUGCUUUUUCUUCGUUGUUUCUUCGCUGCCCUGCCCGGGUCGGGGUGCCUGGCCUGCGGUCGCCGCCGCGGGGAGGGAGGGUGAAGGAGCUCGCUGGGUGCUCGCUUUGAGAACUUCCCUUUAAAAAAAAAAAAAAAAAAGACCAACCCAAAUAUCUAAUAACGCUUUUAUUCAUUGUUCUUGCCGCCAACCGAGCCGGACACGCGGGGGCUGACGAAUCCUCUGGCUUGUGGGAGCGAUGGCAAAGAGGAGGAGUGUUGUCAACGCGGGGACCGGCGAGGGAUGGCGAUGCCUGCAACCUAUGGCUGAACUGGAGGCUUUGCUAGCUUGACGGUACCGAAUAAACGUCCUGAUUUGCGCUGUAGCUGUUUGUUUUCUGCUUACAGUCAAAAAAGGGAAAGAAAAUAAAAACAAAGCAAAAGUCCACUGAUAAUUAACCUUAAAAAAAAAAUCGGUAUCAGAUGUGGAAGGGGUUUAAAGGAGCAUAAUUACUCGUCUUUAUGGUUUGCAACGCGUCUAUGCUUUUUCAGGUCGAAUUGGGGCCUUGCAAGAAUGAACUUGUUUGUGGACAAUAAGAAUGAAAUUAGUGGGGAUUGAUGUAAACGGGGGAUGCUGUUAUUUUUUAGUAUUUCUUUUGCCCCAAUUAUUAACUAAUGUAACUUGUGAAGCAAAGCCAAAAGUAUGUUUGAAAUAAUAUAGAAACUAGACAAAAAAUAUUUUGUGCGUAAAGACCCUGAAGCUCCCUGUAUAUAACUUUUAACAAAAUUCAAUUUAAACCGUAUUUCAUUGCAAGUGCGGGGAAGCUGAGUUGAGCAUUUUUAUAUGUAUGUUUCCAAGGCUCGCGAGCUCAGUGUACGAGCCUGCUGCUUGAGCUUUGUGCUUGGCAUGGCGAGAAAGCUUACUGCAGCGGCCCUUCUGCUUUAUUGCACAAACGUUAACCGUGAAAGGUUAGAGAAGGGAGGCUAAAAUGUCACGUAUUUCCAUAAAGUCAUGUUAUAAAAAGUGAUAAAAAUUAGAUUUAUAUAGCAGAUGCCUAAUUGCUGCCCAUUUUGACAUAGAAUUAUCAAGUACCCUAAAAAUCAUUAAAAUCAUAAUCUAGCGUGUGGUCUGUAAUCAUGAGGGUAAAUGUAUUUUGUAGUAUAGAUUGUUUUUUUAGGAAGUAAAAUCGUGCAUACUGAAUUGGAUCACUUUAUCUGUAGCUAUGCUUACUUUAUAUAUUUAAAAAUAAAUAUAUAUUUAUGGCUGUC